UGGGGAAUAUUGGACAAUGGGCGAAAGCCUGAUCCAGCCAUGCCGCGUGUGUGAAGAAGGUCUUCGGAUUGUAAAGCACUUUAAGUUGGGAGGAAGGGUACUUACCUAAUACGUGAGUAUUUUGACGUUACCGACAGAAUAAGCACCGGCUAACUCUGUGCCAGCAGCCGCGGUAAUACAGAGGGUGCAAGCGUUAAUCGGAAUUACUGGGCGUAAAGCGCGCGUAGGUGGUUCGUUAAGUUGGAUGUGAAAUCCCCGGGCUCAACCUGGGAACUGCAUCCAAAACUGGCGAGCUAGAGUAGGGCAGAGGGUGGUGGAAUUUCCUGUGUAGCGGUGAAAUGCGUAGAUAUAGGAAGGAACACCAGUGGCGAAGGCGACCACCUGGGCUCAUACUGACACUGAGGUGCGAAAGCGUGGGGAGCAAACA
rnacentral:rRNA from 1 species